GGAGAGAGACCAGGGCUUCCGGGCGGCCUCCGAGAUCCCGGGGCCGCGUGCUGGAAGCCUGCCUGAAAACACCCCGCCAGGGCCGCUCCUCUGCCGCCGGCUCCUGCCCGGCCACUGUUCGGGGCCCUUGGCCGCACGACGGACGGAGGACGGCUCUCUGUGGAGCAGCGCGCGGGCUCCCCGGCUCGCGCCCCCCCUGCCCGGGGCCUGCGGCGCGAGGAAGACCAAAAUGAUCUUUUGUACUGCAAGGUGCUAACACUUGAUAUAGAAGAAAAUCUACAUAAACCAACAUAUCUGUCUGCAACAGGGCUUGUAUGAGCACUGGGGGUUAUAUGCAACUGUGAAUUAUUAAAAACUACAUAUGAAUGCAAUGAAACGCCGGGACACCUGCACCCCGAUGUUUAUAGCAGCAAUGGCCACGAUAGCCAAACUGUGGAAGGAGCCUCGGUGUCCAACGAAAGAUGAAUGGAUAAAG